rnacentral:rRNA from 1 species
GACAGAGGGGGCAAGCGUUGUCCGGAGUUACUGGGCGUAAAGGGCGCGCAGGCGGCCGCAUUUGUCAGGCGUGAAAGCCCCGGGCUUAACCUGGGAACCGCGUUUGAUACGGUGUGGCUAGAGUUCGGUAGGGGAGACUGGAAUUCCUGGUGUAGCGGUGAAAUGCGCAGAUAUCAGGAGGAACACCGGUGGCGAAGGCGGGUCUCUGGGCCGAUACUGACGCUGAGGAGCGAAAGCGUGGGGAGCGAACAGG